CGAGAGGGCAGGAGACCUGAGGCUUGUGAUCUGGGUGGGGUCAGUCACUGUAUCCCUGUGUGACCUUGGGAUACUCCCUAAGGGCGGGCCUCAGUUUCCCUGCCUGUCACAUGGAAAAGGCAAAAUGUGGCCCCUUUGGAAAAUAGAGGUCGUUAAGCCUGACCACCCCCGGGGUCACCUCUCUGGCCGUCUACCUUCCACACUGACAAGGGCCGUGGGGACGUAGCUGGCCAGACAGGUGACCCCAGAGCGGCGUCCCCAGGUACUUCUUGCUUUCUGGUGCCUGUGGAGGAGAAGCUGAGAAAUUGACUCACUAGCGAUGGGAUCACUAGAAAUGAGGCGGGGAGCAGUGGCUGGGAAAGAGGGGAGCAGGCCGAGACACCUCGAGGCCUGGAGGGGUGGUGGGUGCUGACCGCGCCCCUCUGCCUCUCCAAGGUCCUCAGCCCUCGCUCUCGCUGGCGGAGCAGCACCUGGAGUCGCCCGUGCCCAGCGCCCCGGGGGCUCUGGCGGGCGGUCCCACCCAGGCGGCCCCGGGAGUCCGCGGGGAGGAGGAACAGUGGGCCCGGGAGAUCGGGGCCCAGCUGCGGCGGAUGGCGGACGACCUCAACGCACAGUACGAGCGGCGGAGACAAGAGGAGCAGCAGCGGCACCGCCCCUCACCCUGGAGGGUCCUGUACAAUCUCAUCAUGGGACUCCUGCCCUUACCCAGGGGCCACAGAGCCCCCGAGAUGGAGCCCAAUUAGGUGCCUGCACCCGCCCGGUGGACGUCAGGGACUCGGGGGGCAGGCCCCUCCCACCUCCUGACACCCUGGCCAGCGCGGGGGACUUUCUCUGCACCAUGUAGCAUACUGGACUCCCAGCCCUGCCUGUCCCGGGGGCGGGCCGGGGCAGCCACUCCAG
rnacentral:lncRNA from 1 species